rnacentral:rRNA from 1 species
GCCAGACUCCUACGGGAGGCAGCAGUGGGGGAUAUUGCACAAUGGGGGGAACCCUGAUGCAGCGACGCCGCGUGGGUGAAGGAGUAUUUCGGUAUGUAAAGCCCUAUCGGCAGGGAAGAAGCAAGACGGUACCUGACUAAGAAGCCCCGGCUAACUACGUGCCAGCAGCCGCGGUAAUACGUAGGGGGCGAGCGUUAUCCGGAUUCACUGGGUGUAAAGGGAGCGUAGACGGCCAAGCAAGCCAGGGGUGAAAGCCCGGGGCCCAACCCCGGGACUGCCCUUGGAACUGCUUGGCUGGAGUGCGGGAGGGGCAGGCGGAAUUCCUGGUGUAGCGGUGAAAUGCGUAGAUAUCAGGAGGAACACCGGCGGCGAAGGCGGCCUGCUGGACCGCGACUGACGUUGAGGCUCGAGAGCGUGGGGAGCAAACAGGAUUAGAUACCCCAGUA